rnacentral:rRNA from 1 species
UCCUCCCUCUGGCGGCGUGCUUAACACAUGCAAGUCGAACGGAAAGGCCCUGCUUUUGUGGGGUGCUCGAGUGGCGAACGGGUGAGUAACACGUGAGUAACCUGCCCUUGACUUUGGGAUAACUUCAGGAAACUGGGGCUAAUACCGGAUAGGAGCUCCUGCUGCAUGGUGGGGGUUGGAAAGUUUCGGCGGUUGGGGAUGGACUCGCGGCUUAUCAGCUUGUUGGUGGGGUAGUGGCUUACCAAGGCUUUGACGGGUAGCCGGCCUGAGAGGGUGACCGGCCACAUUGGGACUGAGAUACGGCCCAGACUCCUACGGGAGGCAGCAGUGGGGAAUAUUGCACAAUGGGCGGAAGCCUGAUGCAGAAACGCCGCGUGCGGGAUGACGGCCUUCGGGUUGUAAACCGCUUUCGCCUGUGACGAAGCGUGAGUGACGGUAAUGGGUAAAGAAGCACCGGCUAACUACGUG